AGCUAGUUGGUGAGGUAACGGCCCACCAAGGCUAAGACGGGUAGCUGGUCUGAGAGGACGACCAGCCACACUGGAACUGAGACACGGUCCAGACACCUACGGGUGGCAGCAGUCGAGAAUUUUUCACAAUGGGCGAAAGCCUGAUGGAGCGACGCCGCGUGGGGGAUGAAUGGCUUCGGCCCGUAAACCCCUGUCAUUCGCGAGCAAUGCCUUCCCGAUAACACCGGGACGGUUGAUCGUAGCGAAAGAGGAAGGGACGGCUAACUCUGUGCCAGCAGCCGCGGUAAUACAGAGGUCCCAAGCGUUGUUCGGAUUCACUGGGCGUAAAGGGUGCGUAGGUGGUGAGGUAAGUUCGGUGUGAAAUCUCCGGGCUCAACCCGGAAAAGGCAUUGAAUACUAUCUUGCUAGAGGUUUGGAGGGGGGACUGGAAUUCUCGGUGUAGCAGUGAAAUGCGUAGAUAUCGAGAGGAACACCGGUGGCGAAGGCGAGUCCCUGGACAACACCUGACACUGAGGCACGAAAGCUAGGGGAGCAAACAGGAUUAGAUACCCUGGUAGUCCUAGCCCUAAACGGUGCACAUUUGCUGUGGGCGGAAUCGACCCCGUCCGUGGCGAAGCUAACGCGAUAAA
rnacentral:rRNA from 1 species